rnacentral:tRNA from 1 species
CGGGCUGUAGUACAACGGUAGUACGUACCCUUGGGGUGGGUAUGACCCGGGUUCAAUUCCCGGCAGCCCGACCA